AGUGAGCGCUGGCGGUAGGCCUAACACAUGCAAGUCGAACGGCAGCACAGUAAGAGCCUGCUCUUACGGGUGGCGAGUGGCGGACGGGUGAGGAAUACAUCGGAAUCUACUUUUUCGUGGGGGAUAACGUAGGGAAACUUACGCUAAUACCGCAUACGACCUACGGGUGAAAGCAGGGGAUCUUCGGACCUUGCGCGAUUGAAUGAGCCGAUGUCGGAUUAGCUAGUUGGCGGGGUAAAGGCCCACCAAGGCGACGAUCCGUAGCUGGUCUGAGAGGAUGAUCAGCCACACUGGAACUGAGACACGGUCCAGACUCCUACGGGAGGCAGCAGUGGGGAAUAUUGGACAAUGGGCGCAAGCCUGAUCCAGCCAUACCGCGUGGGUGAAGAAGGCCUUCGGGUUGUAAAGCCCUUUUGUUGGGAAAGAAAAGCAGCAGGUUAAUACCCCGCUGUUCUGACGGUACCCAAAGAAUAAGCACCGGCUAACUUCGUG
rnacentral:rRNA from 1 species